GGAAGGGACUAGCCUCACACCCCGGGGAAAUGUAUUUAAGCUCAGGACCCGAUCUUAAAACCCUGCACGAGCAUGCAGCAGGCCACAUGGAGUACAGGGACACUACCACCAACUUGCACUGAGCUUGAAGACCAACUAACUGCACUGAUGAACAGACGACGCAAGAGCUCGAGCUCAAGUGCGCAUGCUUGGAGCCUUCUGGGCUGCCCAACCAUUGGCUCCACCCUUGGCAGGAGGCACCAGAAGUCCCAGCCAAUCCCAAACACGGAACGGAAAACCUCCCUUAGUGGCAGUUGGAAGGCGUUGGCUAUUCCAGCCCAGUGGCCUUUAGUUAGGCUGGUCCCACGAAGAACGCAAUAGCUAGGCUCGACAAAGAUCUUCAUGGUAGUGGGGGUGGGGUGCAGUGGGGUAGGGUAAGUCCCAUCUUACCCAAAACCUUAAACUGCUGCCAAGAUUGAACUGUUUGUUGCACAGCUAUAUAGUCUUGUGGUGACAGUGGCUUUAGAGUGAGUUUAGGUAGGAGCUGUGCAAACUCUGUUAAAUAAUCCCACGGACUCAUCUGGUGGCCUUUUGGAGCAAUUUUUGUAAAAAAAUUUCAAACCUGUCACAGGAAAGGGAUAUUAAAUGGGGACAUAUAGUCAUCGGUCAGCACUUGGCUUGAGUUGACAACUCCAUAGAUACCAUCUCUGGAGCACGAGGCUGGAGAUUUUAGCCAGGUUUUUCUGACAAGAGAGCUGUCAUGCCUUCUGCCCCUUGAGUUAUCUCACAUUGUUGCCCAGAGUCAACAAAGUAACGCUCUCCAAGGGUCUAUAGCUUUACCCUACACUGCCCAGCUCCCGUUCUUAGUUCACAGGGUUCUGCCAAGCCCUAGGGAGGAACCCAGAGGUUUCUCCAUAACCCAUUUCCCUUCUCCUUUUUCUAUCCAAUCCCUCUCCUUGUGUAGGAGAGGUAUCCUUUCUAGACAGGAAGAAAGAGGAAAAUUCUCCAAGUGACUCUUAAGUCACUUUGACAUCAUUAAAGAAGUCAUUGUAACAAGACUAACAUGAGGUUCAAGGGUAAACUAAAGAACUACAGAACUUAGGUUGCUGGGGAAAACUUCCUUUUGUUCUCUAGGGCUGGUACAGAGCCUGCACAAAGUUUUGAAGUGUGAGACAGUCAUGGGAGCCUUAAGUUCAUACGCUGGUAUGAUUUUAGACUAGACUGUGGGUGUGGAAAUACCAGACUCUAUAGACACUGGAUAGAAAGGAGGAAAGGAGCUUUCCUUCCCGAAGCUUCAAACUGGGGAAAUGAGGUUCUCAGUAAAAGGGUGUUUAAAAAAAGGGCUAUCUUUAUCCUGUGGUUGGAUCAUUAUUAAAUCUCAUUUUAAGAUAGCUUAGACCUGUAGACGAAUAGCUACAUGUGUGGAGUAUUGAUUAGAGAAGACUAGCCGUGUUAAGUACAUUGUUGUAUGUCCUGACCUGAAGUGACAGGGGCGGAAGUGGGGCUGCCCUUUCCCAUUCUGCAGAAUCACAGUCUUGUCACUCAAAGUGAUCCCAGACAAGAAACAAUACUACAGAGAUGACGAAGCACCAAGUUAGGUGUACAUCUCAGAGCUCUCUAAGAAUCUACAACAAUCUUGUGAGAAAUUAAUCUCCCUCGGGUAUUGUAGUCUAGGAUGCAGAGUUGAGCAGCAGGAGUUGGGUGUAGCUGACUCAAAAAGUUCUUUGUUUGGUCCGUAGUCCCUGUGAAUCUCAUCCCUCUGGCUUGCCUGGGUCCUCUCUUUAAUGUCUGACCACUAACUACAUUUCUGUCAUCCGUACAAAAUUAUAAUGCCUUCUCUCAUCUUCUGCCCAGUGUGGAACUUUGGUCUUCUGCUGAUAGAGUGCCACACCCAUGUGGGAACCUGGGUUCACGUUCUGCUAUCGUACAGGCUACGUCCUCUCUAGCUGAGAACACGGAUGGGAAGCAGUAAGCCUCUGAGCCCAGAUGAGCUCUCAGAAGGCUCUCCUAGCAGUAGCCAGCUCUGUCGGAGGUCAUGCUAUGAUCAGAAAGUGGGGUGGAAAACACAGUGUGGCUGUGGCGUGAACCCCAAGUUAUUUAUUUUUCGUGUUAUGUGUUGUCUCAUGGCCCUUGCUGUCACUCAAAGGACACAGGGCUGACCUCUUUGGAGCAACAGGACAGACAAGUCAAGUCACUGACUGCUGCCCAUCCUGUGACACUACAAAGACCCUUGAAAGGGUCAGUUUCUACGUUGAUGGUAAUUGGAAGAGCUUCUGGGUAACAGGAGGGCAUGAGUCACUUGUGGAGCUGUAGGGUCCUGCCUCUGUGAGCGGCUGGAUGAUGUUCGUCCUAGCUGUUGCUUUUUACAUAAACCUAAAUUGGCCUGAUCCUAGCCAUAAAGAAAAAGUCUUUUUUAGAAAAUAUGGGGGGAAAAAGAUUAUCAAAGCAGAAACCCAGAUAAGAAAUAUAGGCAGGGAAUUUAUUUAUUUUUUUGGUUCUUUUUUUUCGGAGCUGGGGACCGAACCCAGGGCCUUGCGCUUCCUAGGCAAGCGCUCUGCCACUGAGCCAAAUCCCCAACCCCUAGGCAGGGAAUUUAAAAUGGCAGAGGAGUUAGGCUCCAAAAACAGAGGUGAUGGAGGUGUCAGCCAAAAAUUGAGACAAUGUUUCAGAAAAAAUUCUGAAAGGGAAAGGGAGAGUCAGAACGAAGAAAGAUGAGAGCUUUCCCUCUCCCUCUGCUUUCUUCUGGUCCUCCUCCUCCCCUGAACCCUUGCCAAGUGCUAGGUAGGUGCAGAGAUUAGGACAGAGAGAGCAUUACACAGUGGGGUGAAAAGCGUGUCUCCCCCAGCUGCAUUCCCAGGAUAUAGGGAAGGUCAAGGAAGAGAGCGGAGGCCCCAGAAAUGAAGGAGAUGCUGUCUCAGCAGCUCUUGGGCUGAGGUCAGAAAGCAGCCAGCUGGUGUUGGCCCAGGACUCUACCACCUUUGUUGUUUCUCUUUGGGCAUCAGCUGGGGUUGCUACAAGCACAGAACAGGCAACUGGAGUGAGUCUGGCGGGAGGAGCCCUGUGUCGUGGGUACGGUGCCCAUGGACAUUGGCAGGGACAACUGUAACUCCUUUCUUUUUUCUCCAGGUGCCCCACCCCCCGUACCCCCAUGGGUUGUCUAGUAGCAGCUCACCCUGGCUUCUAUCACGGCCAUCAACAUAAAUGGAAGAGGGAGGGAAAAGUGUAAACACUGGAGGAUGUGUAAAACACUGGAGGAUGGGGUCAGGGCGGGGGCAUGAUGUAUCCUCAAAUUUUCAAAACGAGAAAAAAAAAGGCAAAGAAUUUGACAUCCAAUUUAUGGGUCUCUGCUGGCUGGGAAGCCUGAGUUCCAGAAAACAAAGACUACUCUUGUAGGAGGUGAUAUCAAUGUUGACGAGGGUCCUUACUGAAGCUAAGGUCAGGGUAGACAAAAGCUGCUAGGUUUCCACCCCUAGUGCCUUUACAAGGGGCGGGGUAGUACACAUGUGCUAUUUUAUGAGCUCUGAAGACUUAUAGACAGAGCAUUUCCAGGACAUGGAUCCUCUGAGGCAGCCAAAAAUUAUCCAUCCAGUUUAGGACUCCAAAGCAGGUGCUGGGAAAUUAGCUAGGAGCUUUCAGAGUUAGGGAGAGCAAACCUGGUGGUGGUUUACUCAGUCUGGGAAGCUUUCACUAUGGUCAUAAUACACAGGUUUCCUGGCCAGAGCUCAAAAUAAAUAAGGGCAGGCAGGAGUGGUAUCAUUUCCGUUUUACACAAGGUUUUGAUGAAGGUUUGAUGUUCAUGGUUCUGUAAUGAGGGAUGGUGUUCUAGGGAGGCAGUUGCUAAAGCAUAGCAUCACCAUGUUUUUCUCGUUGGCCAUCGGCCAUUGGGACUUCAUAUUUCUAGUGUUCCUGCACAGCAGCUCGUUGCCGAUGACACAACCCAGAGGCUCUAGCUUAGUGAUAAUAGUAUCAAGCCGUAUACCUACCCUAUCUUUCUUUUGAGCAGACGUCACAAGAGUUGGGUACCAGCAAGGAUGGCCUGGUAAACAGCUCGCUUGGGGUUUCCCACCUUGACUGUUCUCUGACCCGUUGUGUUUAUGGGCAUUUUGCAAAUCUCCCAGCAUCUGCAUCCUUUCUAAAGUUGGGAAGUUUUCUUUUUAAGGCCUACUAUUUUCUCCUACGUGAAAGCUCUCCCCGCCCCCUCAGGUGUUUGCCUCUGUUACCAACAGCUGUCCUCUGUGAAGCGACUGAGUAGCUCACAGCUAUGGUGAAGAGAGAACCUUGAACCCCAGAACCAACCUGUGUGCCUUGCUGCUGCUGCUGCUGCUGCUGCUGCUACUGGCAGGUUGGGUUUUGUUUGAAGUAGAGUUUUGGAUCUGGAUACCAAAGCCAGAGAUGACAAAUGUCAAGCUUUCUGGUGUCCUUGCUGGUGGUAGUCCUUGGAGGAUGGAAUUAGAAAUAACGAGGUGGGCCUGGUCUGUAGCUUUAGAGAGUCCCUGGUGGCAUUCUCUGCCACAUCGGAACUGGGUGGGUUGGAAAUGGGAGUCUCCCCUUGGAAGUUAGCAGAAAUCCUGGACCCCCUGACCCUGAAAAUUCUGCACUUGAGCAGAGUCCCUAGUAUGUGCUCUAGUUCUUAUACUGCCUCUAAUGAGCCAUGUACACUUUGGAGAGUCUCCCGACUUCUUUGGGUUUUGGCAUCCUCGUGGAUAAAAUUGGGAUAUCAAUACCCCUCACUGGGUUGGUGUGUGGAUUCAAUAAGCUCGGUAAUCUUCAUGUUCUAUAAACCGUUGUGAUUGAAGAGCCAGCUUUAAACCUGUGUUGGCCAUAUGACACGUAUGUGGACAUUUCUGCCUUCUUACAUGCUGUUUCAUGCUCCUGGCUAAACUCUGUAGUAAAAUGGUUAUGUGUAAAUUUGCGUGAAUCGAAAGGGUUUAUAUUUAUAGAUAGCUCUCACUGGCUUCCUAAAGGGGGCUCCAGCACCUCAAAUUUUGAAAGCCAGAGCUUGAAACUUGGAGCUGGAUUCA
ensembl:lncRNA